UCUCUAUUCUCCUACUAAUCUCACUGUAACCCCCUCCAGGUCUCUGUUCACCUACUAAUCUCACUGUAACCCCCUCCAGGUCUCUGUUCUCCUACUAAUCUCACUGUAACCCCCUCCAGGUCUCUGUUCUCCUACUAAUCUCACUGUAACCCCCUCCAGGUCUCUGUUCUCCUACUAAUCUCACUGUGACCUCCUCCAGGUCUCUGUUCCCCUACUAAUCUCACUGUGACCCCCUCCAGGUCUCUGUUCUCCUACUAAUCUCACUGUAACCCCCUCCAGGUCUCUGUUCUCCUACUAAUCUCACUGUAACCCCCUCCAGGUCUCUGUUCUCCUACUAAUCUCACUGUAACCUCCUCCAGGUCUCUGUUCUCCUACUAAUCUCACUGUAACCCCCUCCAGGUCUCUGUUCACCUACUAAUCUCACUGUAACCCCCUCCAGGUCUCUGUUCUCCUACUAAUCUCACUGUAACCCCCUCCAGGUCUCUGUUCUCCUACUAAUCUCACUGUAACCCCCUCCAGGUCUCUGUUCUCCUACUAAUCUCACUGUGACCUCCUCCAGGUCUCUGUUCCCCUACUAAUCUCACUGUGACCCCCUCCAGGUCUCUGUUCUCCUACUAAUCUCACUGUAACCCCCUCCAGGUCUCUGUUCUCCUACUAAUCUCACUGUAACCCCCUCCAGGUCUCUGUUCUCCUACUAAUCUCACUGUAACCUCCUCCAGGUCUCUGUUCUCCUACUAAUCUCACUGUAACCCCCUCCAGGUCUCUGUUCACCUACUAAUCUCACUGUAACCCCCUCCAGGUCUCUGUUCUCCUACUAAUCUCACUGUAACCCCCUCCAGGUCUCUGUUCUCCUACUAAUCUCACUGUAACCCCCUCCAGGUCUCUGUUCUCCUACUAAUCUCACUGUAACCUCCUCCAGGUCUCUGUUCUCCUACUAAUCUCACUGUAACCCCCUCCAGGUCUCUGUUCUCCUACUAAUCUCACUGUAACCCCCUCCAGGUCUCUGUUCUCCUACUAAUCUCACUGUGACCUCCUCCAGGUCUCUGUUCCCCUACUAAUCUCACUGUGACCCCCUCCAGGUCUCUGUUCUCCUACUAAUCUCACUGUAACCCCCUCCAGGUCUCUGUUCUCCUACUAAUCUCACUGUAACCCCCUCCAGGUCUCUGUUCUCCUACUAAUCUCACUGUAACCUCCUCCAGGUCUCUGUUCUCCUACUAAUCUCACUGUAACCCCCUCCAGGUCUCUGUUCUCCUACUAAUCUCACUGUGACCUCCUCCAGGUCUCUGUUCCCCUACUAA